rnacentral:snoRNA from 1 species
AGAAGUGAUGAUACUUAAUCCAUACCAUAUUUCUGCAUCUCAGAUGAUGAUCAAUCUA